rnacentral:rRNA from 1 species
CCGACGAGCAUCGAAUACAUGGACAACAAAGCCCUCAAAAUGUGCAGCAACUUCUGCAAAGUAACCCUGCCUCACGUAGAAGACAACUGCUGCUACGUCAUCAUCACUGUAGAAACCUUCCGGGAAGACGAGCUGGACACCAAGAUGGAAACAGUCUGCAAUAUUUGCGAAGAAACCGGUGCUGUCGAAGUCCUCGAAGCUGACGGCUGGACGCUGGAUGCCGAGGGCAACGAGUAUUCCGGCACCGGUCUGCGCUACAAGGAAGUCACCGCUGAAGAAGCCGGCGACUACGCUCUGAACGUUACUCUGGCUGACGGCCGCAUCCUGAUGCCUCUGCACAUCAUGUGGUCUUCCUCCGAUGGUAACUCCGUCUCCGCGCUGCUGGCCACCAUGCUUGCCAACGGCAAGCAGACUGCUGAUGCCGGUAUGCAGAUCGAGCAGGUCACCAUGACCUUCUCCGAACUGCUGAACUGGAUGUACCGCGAUACCUCCGUCGGCGAUCAGUAUGGCGUGAAGACCUACGGCAUGUACAACCUGGCCACCGGUUUUGCCGAUGUCUAUGACUAUGCCUACAACUACGCUUCCGAUCCUGAGUCCGAUUAUGUCAAGCAGGGCUGGAACCAGAACUACAUCUUCGACAAGGACCAGAUCAACCGCUAAGGUCCCCAAGUUCACGUUAAGUGGAGAAGGAUGUGGAAUUGCACAGACAACCAGGAUGUUGGCUCAGAAGCAGCCACACAUUUAAAGAGUGCGUAAUAGCUCACUGGUCGAGUGAUUGUGCGCCGAAGAUGUCCGGGGCUAAACGUGACACCGAAGCGAUGGGUGCAUCUGAAAGGAUGCGCGGUAGAGGAGCAAUGUGCAGAGGCAGAAGCCGUAUCGAGAGGCACGGUGGACACUGCACAAGAGAGAAUGCCGGUAUGAGUAGCGAGAGGCAUGCGAGAAACAUGCCCGUCGAAAGCCCAAGGUUUCCUGGGGAAGGUUCAUCCGCCCAGGGUAAGUCGGGGCCUAAGCCGAGGACGGAAGUCGUAGGCGAUGGACAGCAGGUGUAGAUUCCUGCACUACCGAUGGAAUGAAGCAGUGACACAGAAGGAUAACUCGAGCAGGGUGAUGGUCAACCCUGUGCAAGCAUCAAGGUUGGGUUGUAGUGAAGUACGCAACCCUAUAAGCUGAGAUGUGAUGCGGACCGAAAUUUCAGUAGGGAAGCGAGUGAGUUCACGCUGGCGAGAAAAGCUGCUAGUACAUCCAAAGGUACCCGUACCGGAAACCGACGCAGGUGGGCGAGGAGAGAAUCCUGAGACGAACGGGAGAACCCUUGUUAAGGAACUCGGCAAAAUGACCCCGUAACUUCGGGAUAAGGGGUGCCUGCGAGAGCAGGCCGCAGAGAAUAGUCACAAGCGACUGUUUAGCAAAAACACAGGUAUCUGCGAAAGCGAGAGCUGACGUAUAGGUGCUGACGCCUGCCCGGUGCUGGAAGGUUAAGGGGAAGUGUUAGGGGAAACCCGAAGCAGAGAACCGAAGCCCCAGUAAACGGCGGCCGUAACUAUAACGGUCCUAAGGUAGCGAAAUUCCUUGUCGGGUAAGUUCCGACCCGCACGAAUGGUGUAACGACUUGUGAGCUGUCUCAACAGGGGGCCCGGUGAAAUUGAAGUAUGGGUGAAGAUGCCCAUUACCCGCGACUGGACGGAAAGACCCCGUAGAGCUUUACUGCAGCCUGAUAUUGAGUUUCGGUAACUGAUGCACAGGAUAGGUGGGAGUCUGAGAGACAUGGGUUUCGGCUCGUGUGGAGACGCUGUUGGGAUACCACUCUUCGGUUACUGAAAUUCUAACAUAGCUCUGUGAAACCAGAGGAUGGACAGUGUCAGGUGGACAGUUUGACUGGGGCGGUCGCCUCCGAAAGAGUAACGGAGGCGCCCAAAGGUACCCUCAGAAUGGAUGGAAACCAUUCGAAGAGAGCAAAGUCAGAAGGGUGCUUGACUGCGAGACCAACAAGUCGAGCAGGUACGAAAGUAGGGCUUAGUGAUCCGGCGGUAAGAGAGUGGAAUUGCCGUCGCUCAACGGAUAAAAGCUACCUCGGGGAUAACAGGCUGAUCUCCCCCAAGAGUUCACAUCGACGGGGAGGUUUGGCACCUCGAUGUCGGCUCAUCGCAUCCUGGGGCUGUAUUCGGUCCCAAGGGUUUGGCUGUUCGCCAAUUAAAGCGGCACGCGAGCUGGGUUCAGAACGUCGUGAGACAGUUCGGUCCCUAUCCAUCGUGGGCGAAGGACACAUGAGAGGAGCUGCUCCUAGUACGAGAGGACCGGAGUGGACGCAUCACUGGUGCAACUGUUGUCGUGCCAACGGCACAGCAGGGAAGCGAAAUGCGGAUGGGAUAAACGCUGAAGGCAUCUAAGCGUGAAGCCCACCUCAAGAAUAAGACUCCACAAUAGACCCCUGGAGGACUACCAGGUAGAUAGGUCAUCGGUGGAAGCGCCGUAAGGUGU